rnacentral:misc_RNA from 1 species
ACUAGCUUGUGCAAAAAAUUCUUUCUAUAUUUAACGAUAUCAUUCCACUUAACAUGAAAAGACAAUAUAAAUUCUACGGUGUACCUAUCACAUUCCUUGAACUAUGCAAAAAGGAUCAAAUGCAGUUUCAAAGCUAAAAUUCUUUCUUUGAAGGCGUGGAUACGGUUUAUUAGUAUCAAAAACGUGUAUGUAAUUGCUCAAGUCUGGAAAUCCAAAAGGGACCGAGCACCCCAUAAUAAUAUGCUUGGAACAUAAGUGAAACAAAAAUACAAUACUCGUUCUCAAUAAGAAAUGCCACUUUGCCACCCAUCCGGCAACAGAAUUCAGCUAAAAUCGGUUCAUCAAAAGGCAGUUGAACCAAGUCAAACCCAGGAAACAACAAUCCUUAAGACUACCAACUAAACCAGAUCCAGAAACAACAGUUGGAGUUUUGGUAUUAAUCCUUCCUGA